rnacentral:pre_miRNA from 1 species
UCUUAUGGAUGAGCAAAGAAAAGUAGUUUCCUGAGAUGGAAUCUAUUCCUGGUGAAGUUGCUGUGAA